GAUCCUAUUCAUAUAUGGAACCUCAUUUGCCAUUUGCCGUGGGAGGGCUGCCUGGGCUGUGAGGCAGCCCUCCAGAAGAGGAUCGCGGCGGAGGUAAGUAAAUCUCACCUCCAGGGGCUCAAAGCUGUUACGGCGUUCUAUGCCGCCGCAACGGCUUUAAAGCCCUUUAAAGCCGGGACGGCAUAGAACGCCGUAACGGUGUUAAGGGGUUAAAACAUUGGUCAUAUGCAAAUGUACGUCUCCUUAAAAUAAAUGUGCUCUUUUGUUUACUUUGAAGCCCUUUGAGCGUGAAGAUGUAGUGUCAGUUAAGCAACUUUUUUUUUAUACUGUACUUUUCUAAAUAAACC